rnacentral:rRNA from 1 species
GACGAACGCUGGCGGCGUGCUUAAUACAUGCAAGUGGAGCGACGAACCAGGCUUCGGCCUGGGGCAGAGCCGCGAACGGGUGAGUAACACGUGGGUAACCUGCCUCGAUGACCGGGACAACCCGGGGAAACCCGGGCUAAUACCGGAUGUGCUGUCCCCACAUCAGUGGAGACAGGAAAGGAAGCUUCGGCCUCCGCAUCGAGAUGGGCCCGCGGCCCAUUAGCUUGUUGGUGUGGUAACGGCUCACCAAGGCUGCGAUGGGUAGCUGGUCUGAGAGGACGAUCAGCCACACUGGGACUGAGACACGGCCCAGACUCCUACGGGAGCAGCAGUAGGGAAUCUUGCGCAAUGCGCGAAAGCGUGACGCAGCAACGCCGC